UUCGUCUUUAAAAUGUUUUAUUUUAUUUAUCUUACUUACACUUGUAAACAGAGGACCGCUAUCUUUCUUGUUUCUUAUUACGCUUCGAACGCCUACGCAGCUCCAGUUGCAUUAUGGGAUACAUUAACGGACCGCAAGUGUGCAUCGCUUGCAUACUCAAACAUGGCUGCCCAAUAAGUACAAGGUGUAUGAUGUUGGAAUUCUAGUAGGUUCUUAAAAGAAACCAGUACCUUGGGCUGACCCGGCUGGCGAGAAAAUGCUGAGGUGACGCUCUUCAGAGUGCCAUUUUGUCUCAUGAAGCUGCGGAAGGGAGCUAUGCCACUGCCUGCUCCAAUGAGGAUAGUGGGUGUGGUGGGAUCUGGUGGAAGGUGACCACAGACACGGUGAGGUGAAGCUCAUUGGGAUGUAGAUUUGGAGAGGAGCUGACUGAAUAGAGACGAGGCUUCAGCAGGGGCAACUGGCUGAGAAGAAAGGCUGCAGAGAGCUCCAGUGAGGAAAACUCCUCCAGAAUCUCUAGGAAGUUUGGCUUGUUGUAUUCUUUCCAUUCUGAAUAACACUUGAAGUCCUGCAGAAAGAUGACAUAACAUGAAUGUACACUUUAUGCUAAAGUGAU